rnacentral:lncRNA from 1 species
CGGAGCCUGGUGACCGAGGUGGUCAUGCGGGGAGAGGACUGGGGGAGGGGGGAUGGAGCCCAGUGACCGAGGUGGGCAUGUGGGGAGAGGGCCCAGGGGGGGAUGGAGCCCGGUGACCGAGGUGGGCAUGCAGGGAGAGGGCCGCGGGACGAUGGAGCUUGGUGACCAACGUGGGCAUGCAGGGAGAGGGCUGGGGGGAAUGGAGCCCGGUGACCGAGGUGGGCAUGUGGGGAGAGGGCUGGGGUGGGGGUGUACGGAGCUUGGGGUGUACGGAGCUUGGUGACUGAGGUGGGCAUGCGGGGAGAGGGCUGCAGGAGGAUGGAGCCUGGUGACCAAGGUGGGCAUGUGGGGAGAGGACCAGGGGGCAUGGAGCCCAGGGACCGAGGUGGGCACGUGGGGAGACGAUCCUGCUUAACAGAGGUGUGGCCCCACA